AGGCAGCAGUGGGGAAUCUUGCGCAAUGGGCGAAAGCCUGACGCAGCGACGCCGCGUGAGUGAGGAAGGCCUUCGGGUUGUAAACCUCUGUCAGGAGGGAAGAACGACCGCACGAGGAAAUGCGUGGGAUGAC
rnacentral:rRNA from 1 species